GUAGGGUGCGAGCGUUAAUCGGAAUUACUGGGCGUAAAGCGUGCGCAGGCGGCUUCGCAAGUCAGACGUGAAAUCCCCGGGCUUAACCUGGGAAUGGCGUUUGAAACUACGGAGCUGGAGUGUGGCAGAGGGAGGUAGAAUUCCACGUGUAGCGGUGAAAUGCGUAGAUAUGUGGAGGAAUACCGAUGGCGAAGGCAGCCUCCUGGGCCAACACUGACGCUCAUGCACGAAAGCGUGGGGAGCAAACAGGAUUAGAUACCCUGGUAGUCCACGCCCUAAACUAUGUCAACUAGUUGUUGGGGGAGUUAAAUCCCUUAGUAACGCAGCUAACGCGUGAAGUUGACCGCCUGGGGAGUACGGUCGCAAGAUUA
rnacentral:rRNA from 1 species